ensembl:lncRNA
AACUUACCUACCUAUUCUCACUUUUUUUAUUUUUGUUUAUAUCCAGCCUCCAGACAGCAGAAUCUUGAAGAUGCCACCUCUAAUGACGACGAAGACGAAUACCCGACAUCCAAUCAAAAGCCGUGUCCAGAGAGACAGAGGAGGACGCAGGAGCGGAUGGUGUCCCAGCAGGCUAAAGCAGAACAGCUGAAGAGGCUCCACAGGGCUCAGGCCAUCCAGAGACAACUGGAGGAGGUUGCAGAGAAACAGAGAGACCUGGAGGUGAGAGGGGUGACCAUCGACAAGAUCAUCAGAGGAGAAACGGAUACUGAACAAGACGCGGCUCCAUGUGAAAGUGAAAUUCAGUCUUCUUUUCUUCUAUUUAAGGCGCUGUGCCGCUUCUCAAAC